UACGUAGGGGGCAAGCGUUAUCCGGAUUUACUGGGUGUAAAGGGGGCGCAGACGGCCAUGGCAAGCCCGGUGUGAAAGGCGGGGGCAUAACCCCUGGACUGCACUGGGAACUGUCAGACUGGAGUGUCGGAGAGGCAGGCGGAAUUCCUGGUGUAGCGGUGAAAUGCGUAGAUAUCAGGAGGAACACCAGUGGCGAAGGCGGCCUGCUGGACGAUGACUGACGCUGAGGCUCGAAAGCGUGGGGAGCAAACAGG
rnacentral:rRNA from 1 species